CGUCCGGUGGGCAGGGACUGUCCCCAUCCAUGGACUACAGACAGGUGUGUCGGAAUGGGCCCAGCCAGCACCUCGACUGGACCAGCGAAUACUGCGGCAACGGAGCUCUUCAGAGAGACAAGCCUCUGUUCCUGACCUGAUCUGACCUCUAACCUCCACAAAACCACCCCCGGAACAGACUGCAACCUGACCUGGUCCACAUUCGGUCCCACUCUGCGUUCACUGGACCAAGGCAUUGCCCUCAACCCCAGCAGAAACUCCUUGACCACCACCCCCCACUCUGGCCAAACCAUCUGACCGUCACUCAAACAAGAAAGGCAGAAGCACAUUUUCCAAAACAUCCAUAUUUUGAUAUGUUUUGGUUCUUUGUGAUCUACUUUGAAAAUAAUCAUACUGAUGUCAUGAGUGGGUUUUGGAUUCUUUGUGACCCACACUCUACCCUCACCUGAUAUUAGAUACAAAUGUCAAGUUAAUGUUUUUGGACUUUGCAAUGUAUGCCCAUAAAGGCACAAAUAAAUGUGUUCAGAGAUGUGAAAGAAUAGGCAGUACUGUCCUCUCUACUGACGUGUCAUUGGAUCGUUACUGAUAUGUCACUGGGUUGUGUUUUGAGGAAGACAAGCUGGUGACGUAAAAGCGUUAUGUUAAGACCAUUGUUCAAAUCCCAGAAGUUAAUUUAGCACUUAGGGGCUCUUGGGUCUUUUUUUCCCACACAUAGCAAGAUGUCAACCAAAACCCCAAAAUUACUUUUAUUUUGAAAGGAAAAACAAGAUCUUUAUCAUUUGAAAAAAUAAAUAAAGAACACCUAUUAUAUUUCUAUACCUCUUUCCUCUUUCUCUUAAUCUCUGGCUCUCUCUCUCUGCUACUGGACUGCCUUAGAGACUGUUGUGUGUCUUUGAGCAGUGUUGUGUUGCUCUUUCUAAACUGAUGAUGAUGAUGUUCAUAGGAUCCUCUGUGGACUAUGCCUCGGCUGGUUAGUGUAGCCAUCACCUCAAGCUGUACAUAGAUUUCUGUUUUACUCUUACUCCUAGAGUAUAAAAACAAAAGCUUUUUUUCCCCCAAGUGCGGUGUGAUUGUGAAUUGGAUCACACCGGUUUUAAUUUAACUAUCAAAGAAUAAGGGAAAUUGAUUGAACAGCUUUUAUAGCUGUUUGGAUGCUUUUGGGCGUAAGAAUUGUCAAUAUAAUGAUAUUUGUAAGAUAAAACUUGGUAAAUCAGUUGUUUUCAUCCUCUGAAAUAACGUCGUAAACGUUGGCUGCCCUUUACCUGGAAAACAUCACAAAAUAUGAGUUUUGUGAAAGUAGACAAAUAAAAACAAGUUUUGUUUUGUACAAGGACAAAAUCCUUUUUUUGUACAACUUCUGGGCAUAUUGAUGAUAUGGAUUGUCAUCAACCUCCUGUAUCUGAAGUUGCUUUUCUUUAUCAGCAGAAAGUGUCUGAUAAUGAGAGAAGGAGAUUGGUAGAGACAGAUUGGCAGAGUGGCAAUAUAUAACCCUGACAUCUGGCUUGUCAUCGCUCUUCUGAUCGCUCCAUCGCUCUCUCUCUUUCUCUCCAUCAAGUCUGUUCAUCAUGCUGCGCCUAUUUAUGAAACAAUAACUAGGUGUUUUUUAAGCCCUUAUGUUUAAUAGUGUUGAUGAUGGCUGUCUUCUCUGUUCCAUUUGGGUUCCUUUCUUUUGGCAGAAAAACGUCUCCAGGCAACAACAAUGUGAAGAAUUGUGUUCUUAUUUUUAGUUUCUAAUGUGUUUGAAAGAAAUAAAGUCAAACCUGCAUUUUUUUGUGCAGUAAUCACUCA